GGCAGGGCGAGCAGCACCGUGUGGGCUGCGCAGGCAAGCGCACGUGGGGAUGGGUGCACAGGGACAGGGUGCAUGGGGAUGGGUGCACAGGGAUGGAUUGCAUGGGGACGGACACACAGUCAGGGUGCAUAGGGACGGAGUGCAUGGGGAUAGAAACACAAGGUCAGGGUGCAGAGGGACAAGGUGCAUGGGGAUGGGUGCACAGGGACACAGUGCAUGAGGACGGACACACACGGUCAGGGUGCAUGGGGAUGGGUGCACAGGGACACAGUGCAUGAGGACGGACACACACGGUCAGGGUGCACAGGGAUGGAUUGCAUGGGGAGAGACACACACGGUCAGGGUGCACAGGGACAGGGUGCAUGGGGAUGGGUGCACAGGGAUGCAGUGCAUGGGGACGGACACAGGCGGUCAGGGUGCACAGGGACAGGGUGCAUGGGGAACGGACACACAUGGUCAGGGUGCAGAGGGACGGGGUGCACGGGGGACGGACACACAUGGUCGGGGUGCAUGGGGA
rnacentral:lncRNA from 1 species